rnacentral:sRNA from 1 species
UGACGAUGUUGCUAACACCAACCCUAGC